rnacentral:rRNA from 1 species
ACGCUGGCGGCACGCCUUAUACAUGCAAGUCGAACGAAGUAGCAAUACUUAGUGGCAGACGGGUGAGUAACAUGUGGGUAUCUUCCCUUUGGUGAGGAAUAACACGAGGAAACUUGUGCUAAUACCUCAUAAGUCUUUACGGAGAAAGCUUUAUGCGCCGAUGGAUGAGCCUGCACUUGAUUAGUUUGUUGGUGGGGUAAUGGCCUACCAAGACUGUGAUCAAUAGCUGAUUUGAGAGGAUGAUCAGCCACAUUGGGACUGCGACACGGCCCAAACUCCUACGGGAGGCAGCAGUAAGGAAUCUUGCACAAUGGAGGAAACUCUGAUGCAGCGAUGCCGCGUGAGUGAAGAAGGCCUUUGGGUUGUAAAGCUCUUUCGUCGGGGAAGAAAAUGACUGUACCCGAAUAAGAAGGUCCGGCUAACUUCGUGCCAGCAGCCGCGGUAAUACGAAGGGACCUAGCGUAGUUCGGAAUUACUGGGCUUAAAGAGUUCGUAGGUGGUUAAAAAAGUUGGUGGUGAAAUCCCAGAGCUUAACUCUGGAACUGCCAUCAAAACUUUUUAGCUAGAGUAUGAUAGAGGAAAGCAGAAUUUCUAGUGUAGAGGUGAAAUUCGUAGAUAUUAGAAAGAAUACCAAUUGCGAAGGCAGCUUUCUGGAUCAUUACUGACGCUGAGGAACGAAAGCAUGGGUAGCGAAGAGGAUUAGAUACCCUCGUAGUCCAUGCCGUAAACGAUGUGUGUUAGACGUUGGAAAUUUAUUUUCAGUGUCGCAGUGAAAGCGAUAAACACACCGCCUGGGGAGUACGACCGCAAGUAACUCAAUGAUGACGUC